ensembl:misc_RNA 7SK 7SK RNA
GGAUGUGAGGGCCAUCUGGCUGCGACACCUGUCACCCCAUUGAUCUCCAGGGUUGAUUCGGCUAAUCUGGCUGUCUAGGGGAAUGUCUCCUUCCUCCCUCACCGCUCCAUGUGGGUCCCAGCCGAAGCUGCGGGCUCGGUCCAAGAGAAGGACCAUCCCCGAUAGAGGAGGACCGCUCUCCGGUCAACGGUAUAUGAGUAGCUGCGGUCCGCUGCUAGAACCUCCAAACAAGCUCUCAAAAUAUCUCCAAAAUUCCACAAAAACGUUCAACAGGUGCCCUUAAUUAGGUACUGGAAUUUAUACGUCCCCUAAUUUAGAAGCUCUCUCCAGUAACU